rnacentral:tRNA from 1 species
GACAGGUUCAGCUAAAUAAGCUUUCGGGCCCAUAACCCGAACAUGAUGGUGAAAAACCAUCCCCUAUCA